UACAACGCACUACCUGUUAUUAGUAAUAGUUGCUGUCAACAGCACACUGCGCACCAUCAACGCAGAGGACUACAUCUGCUACCCAGACUGCGCGUGGUCGUCCUUCGUUGUCUUCUUGGGGCCGCGUUCAGAGGACUUUUCGUAAAAGCCAAGGUUCACCAUGUGACUGCAGUCUGGUCCAAGCAGAGGGACCUAUCCUUAACCUAAUUUACCCGGCAUAAAAGGCCUGUCCACGGCUCGUCGCGUGUGCGUUGAAAGUCCCUCGGCCUGAGUGAGACGACAAGACGUAACAAGCCCGCGGCCAUACUGAUUGGCGGUACGCUGGUUGGCCUAUCCUUCCCGCAGUGCAACUUGGUCAACCUGUUGCUUGUAAGGGACCCGCUCGAGCUGGCCUUCAAGUAUCCGAGACCGACUCUGCCCGCGUACAUGACGCCUAUAGAGCCUCAGGUAGGGAAGUUCUACAACUCGCCUGUCGCCCUGGGUUCAGGUGCCGGUGCAGUGCUAACGGUACCCAUCGCUGCGUUGGGUGCAAAACUAAACACGUGG
rnacentral:rRNA from 1 species